rnacentral:lncRNA from 1 species
UGUAAUAGCCCGGCCCGUACGCACGGCACUGUUACCACUCACGGCCCAGGGCUAUCCCUCGCCUGGCCUCUCGCCACCUCGGGCUUUCCACUGGCGUCGUGAGCAGCUCUUAACAUCCCUUCACCCUCACGGGUUCCGGGCAGGAUUUGUCCCUCGGGGGAGCCAUUACGGCCCGCCCUAGCCCGAGUGGAUUUGGCCCAAUUCCUUCCUCUGGGAAUUAGGUCGCCUCCCCCACUGCUCGAACCCUUGACCUCCCACUUUAAUGGAACAACUGGUACUCACUCUCACCAGACUAUUCCCUUAAAGUGGGAGGUCAAGGGUUCGAGCAGUGGGGGAGGCGACCUAAUUCCCAGAGGAAGGAAUUGGGCCAAAUCCACUCGGGCUAGGGCGGGCCGUAAUGGCUCCCCCGAGGGACAAAUCCUGCCCGGAACCCGUGAGGGUGAAGGGAUGUUAAGAGCUGCUCACGACGCCAGUGGAAAGCCCAAGGUGGCGAGAGGCCAGGCGAGGGAUAGCCCUGGGCCGUGAGUGGUAACAGUGCCGUGCGUACGGGCCGGGCUGUUACA